CGACGCGCUUUUCGCGGACGACAACGCGAAUGCGGCGUGGUUUUCAAAAUGACUUGAUAUAGAUUUUUUUGUAGCAACCUGAAGGUGCUUCUUUUUUAAUUAUUCCAUAAAUAUCUUCCGUUAUCACAUUUUAAGGUACUAGAUUCCCGCAACUUUAACGCGACCGAAGUUUGUAAACAUAUCUAAACGUGCGGGGAGUAAUCGUCAUAUCAAGUUAUCGAAGACCUUUAAAAAUAAAGGAACAACAGUGCAGAGAAAACCGACUUAUAACUUCGUAUGUGUCGAAAUUAUGAAAACGGUUCGGUUUAUAAAUUAGUGUGGAAUCCAUCUAAUAAAAAACUUGACGAUCAAUACCUUUGUGCAGUGCCACUGCGAUUUAUUUGAUUAAUAUGAAGGACGAAGACAAUGUGUUGGACUUGGAUACAAUUCUAAAGGGAAGACGAAUCGAAUGUUACGAAAACGAAUCCUAUGUCCCCGAAAAACAUGGUCUAUAUUGCCCAGCAUGGUUUGACGGUUGGUCAUGUUGGCCUGAGACUCCAAGUGGUAUGGUAGCCAAUCAGUCGUGUCCUUUCUUUAUUGCAGGAUUUGAACCAACAAAUACAGUUUAUUACAAGUGCGAAGAUGACGGGACGUGGUACUUUCAUGAACCCUAUAACAAAACGUGGGUCAAUUACACUACCUGUGUUAAUACAGAAGAUUUAUCGUUCCGAACACUAGUGGUGAUCAUCCAUUCGGUAGGUUACGGAAUUUCCUUGGUGGCGCUACUGGUAUCUCUGGGAUUUCUCCUUCAUUUCAAGUCGUUAAGGUGCGCUAGGAUAUUGAUCCACAUCAAUUUGUUCGCCUCGUUUGCCAUCAAUAAUUUUUUAUGGCUGUUAUGGUAUUACGUCGUAUUCGACGAAACGGAAACUCUUAUAAGCAAUAAGUUCUGGUGCACAGCGCUGCAUACCAUUCUAUACAGCUGCCUAAUAUCUACAUAUUCGUGGAUGCUUUGCGAAGGACUGUACCUUCAUACAGUUCUGGUGUGGGCAUUUAUUUCCCAAAGUAAUUUACUUAUGGCGAUGGUGAUAAUAGGCUGGGGAAUUCCACUGGUCACAACUUUGAUAUACGUUCCCGUGAGAGCUUUACUGGGUGAAGGAGACGAACUAACAAUGUGUUGGAUUAAAGAGUCCCGAUUUGAUAUAAUCCAACAAGUUCCAGUGGCUGGCACCAUUGGUCUAAAUUUGCUCUUCCUUAUAAAUAUUGUAAGGGUGGUUAUUAUUAAGUCGAGGCGGGGUCCGGUGAACGACGGACAAAGUGCAGCUGGAGGCGCAUCUAGAUCGACACUGCAAGCAUUGAGGGCUACUCUUCUUCUCGUACCACUUCUCGGACUUAACUUUCUGCUCACGCCCUUUCGCCCUCAAGGAGAACACGGUUGGGUAUACUUCUACGAUCUCGUGUCGGCGAUUACCACAUCGUUCCAGGGUCUUUGUGUCGCCAUCCUCUUUUGUUUCUGCAAUGGAGAGGUACAGGCACAAUUUAAGAGAAAAUGGCGAACCAUGACCUUCAGGCCGAGGGCGACUUCCUGCACAGUGACUACAGUCUCAGUACGUAAGACACCGAGUAGUCGAAAAAUGUAUUAAGUUGUAUCUGUACAAUGUUUUGCCUCCUGUAUAAAUAUUUACACAUUUCGCUCGGAAUGAAGUAAUCUAUUUUCAAAAUUCGUACGCUCUUCGUAUCCACAUAACGGGGAAGAAAAGGUAUGACUAGAAGGCAUAGGCAGUUGGACUCUGCAUUGGAUACAGCCCGGGAAAAUAUCGAAAGGCAUAACGAGAAAACUUAUUUUAAAAAAACCCAUUACCCGGAAUGUUUAGUAAUUAAUGUCCUGUAACAGCUUUAAUUUACAAUAUUAAUCCAAUAUAGUAAUUGUAAAAAGUUUUAUGUCAAUAAACAAUUUAAUCCUUUAAUUGAAGG